rnacentral:rRNA from 1 species
GAUUAUGGCUCAGGACGAACGCUGGCGGUGUGCCUCAUACAUGCAAGUCGAACGAUAAGGCUCCUUCGGGAAUACAUAAGUGGCGGACGGGUGAGUACAACAUAGGAAAUCUGCCUUAAGCUGGGGGACAACAGAGGGAAACUCCUGCUAAUACCCCAUAUGAGCUUAGUUGAAAUACUAAUCUUGAAAGCUCCGGCGGCUUAAGAUGAGCCUGUGCCUGAUUAGCUAGUUGGUGGUGUAAUGGACUACCAAGGCGACGAUCAGUAGCUGGUUUGAGAGGAUGAUCAGCCACAAUGGGACUGAGACACGGCCCAUACUCCUACGGGAGGCAGCAGUAGGGAAUUUUGCGCAAUGAGGGAAAAACCCCUGACGCAGCAACACCGCGUGAAUGUUAAGCCCUUCGGGGUGUAAAGUUCUGUCAGUAGGGAAGAACAAAUGACUGUACCUACAAAGGAAGCACCGGCUAACUCCGUGCCAGCCGCCGC